rnacentral:sRNA from 1 species
GUAAGAAGCCGAACUCUGAGGCCUCUCGCCAUUGUCUCCGAGUCGGCCAGCUGGAGCGUUUUCGGGGCCGUAAAGGGAGAGUGGCGCAUGCGCAUAUUCGGGGCGGAAGGCGCGCUAAGAGCAGUCCUUAAAUUAUUGUAGCGCACGUUACUUAAAUCCAGAAGCAGAUGUGUACCCCAGCAAGAGAUAAAAUGACGCUGAGUCAGUAGAUCCAGACCGUGCUUGAGAUCCUGAAUCCUGUUUCCUACCCACUAUUCAGCCAUUGGGUCACAAGCGAUGAAAAGAGCACCUUGAAGGUCCUGACCAGCUCUAAAGAUGGGUCAGCUGCUGUAUUUCCAAGAACCCCAUGACUUCCAGGGCCCCUUGUUCCCAGGAGGGCCCCACACCCCAGUCGUCCUGUGCAUAACCUCACGGGCCAGCACCUGGUAGCUGCUGGAAGGCUUCUGGGGGAUGCCUGGGCCCCUCCAGCCCUACCUCUAGUCCUGCCACUUUACAACUGAGCACCUCCCGCUGCUGCCUGCUGAGCCCUUCAGAGUCCUUGCCACAGGCCCUGUUGACUUUUUCCUGAGAAGAUUUAU